rnacentral:rRNA from 1 species
GCAACCCUGAUCCAGCCAUGCCGCGUGAGUGAUGAAGGCCUUAGGGUCGUAAAGCUCUUUCGCCUGUGAAGAUAAUGACGGUAGCAGGUAAAGAAACCCCGGCUAACUCCGUGCCAGCAGCCGCGGUAAUACGGAGGGGGUUAGCGUUGUUCGGAAUUACUGGGCGUAAAGCGCACGUAGGCGGACUGGAAAGUUGGGGGUGAAAUCCCAGGGCUCAACCCUGGAACUGCCUCCAAAACUAUCAGUCUAGAGUUCGAGAGAGGUGAGUGGAAUUCCGAGUGUAGAGUGAAAUUCGUAGAUAUUCGGAGGAACACCAGUGGCGAAGGCGGCUCACUGGCUCGAUACUGACGCUGAGGUGCGAAAGUGUGGGGAGCAAACAGGAUUAGAUACCCUGGUAGUCCACACCGUAAACGAUGAAUGCCAGUCGUCGGGUAGCAUGCUAUUCGGUGACACACCUAACGGAUUAAGCAUU